rnacentral:pre_miRNA from 1 species
CUUCUACUCCCUCCAUCCGAAAAUACUUGUCAUUGAAAUGGAUGUAUCUAGAUGUAUUUUAGUUCUAGACACAUCCAUUUUGAUGACAAGUAAUUCCGGAUGGAGGGAGUACUUG